UGUGGGUGCUGUAUGUGUGUGUGGGUGCUGUGUCUGUGGGUGCUGUAUGUGUGUGGGUGCUGUGUAUGUCUGUGGGUGCUGUAUGUGUGUGGGUGCUGUGUAUGUCUGUGGGUGCUAUAUGUCUGUGGGUGCUGUAUGUCUGUGGGUGCUGUAUGUGUGUGGGUGCUGUAUGUCUGUGGGUGCUGUAUGUGUGUGGGUGCUGAAUGUGUGUGGGUGCUGAAUGUGUGUCUGUUGGGGCUGAAUGUGUGUCUGUGGGUGCUGAAUGUGUGUGGGUGCUGUAUGUGUGUGUGCUGUAUGUCUGUGGGUACCGUGUAUGUCUGUGGGUGCUGUGUAUGUCUGUGGGUGCUGUAUGUCUGUGGGUGCUGAAUGUGUGUGGGUGCUGAAUGUGUGUGGGUGCUGAAUGUGUGUCUGUGGGUGCUGAAUGUGUGUGGGUGCUGUAUGUGUGUGUGCUGUAUGUCUGUGGGUGCCGUGUAUGUCUGUGGGUGCUGUGUAUGUCUGUGGGUGCUGUAUGUCUGUG